GUCUCUUUGACUCUUUAGUCUAAAGUUCUAGAUGAUCAAAAACCAACCAUAAAAUUUGUCAACUCCAUUGAUAAUUAAUAUUUCUAAAAUCUUAAAGAGGAGCAAAAUCGAUCCGAUAAGCAAAAAAACGGGAUACUACGACGACGACAACAACAACAGUAAUCCGGCAGAUACCUAAAUCAAUCAGACACAACAGUUUUGGAAGCAAUGGCAGUUGAGUUAACACAAGAUGAGUUGAAAAACUUAGGAAAGGUAUGGUUAUCAAUAUUUGUGUCAUUGAUUUAUUGUUAUGUUAUAGGCAAGAUUACUCCAAAGGGUUUCACAAGAUUAGUACCAAUACUUCCAGUAAUCUCAUUCUUCCUAAUUUUGCCACUAAAUCUCACUUCUAUUCAUUUUUGUGGCUUUACUGCAUUCUUCAUUGCUUGGCUUGCUAAUUUCAAACUCUUGCUUUUUGCAUUUGGUAAACCUCCUCUUUGCUUUGAUCAUCCCAUUCCAUAUCCUCUUUUCAUAGCUGUUUCUUGCUUACCCAUCAAAAUCCAACCUCCCAAAAGCACACCAAAGACACAAAUUAACCAAGACCCAGAUCAAAAAUCACAAAACAAUUCAUACCCUUUUCCUCAAAAAUCACAAAAUGAACAAAACCCAGAUCAGAAAUCACAAAAUUAUUCAUACCCAUCUCCUAAAAGAUCCCAAAUUUCACAAAAUGAACAAAACCCAUAUCAAAGAUCACAAAAUAAAUCAUACCCAUCUCCUCUAAAAUCCCAAAUUUCACCUGGGAAUUACCUUACAAAAUUUGUUCUUUUAGCUUUAAUGAUAAAAAUUUAUGAUUACAGGGAUCAAAUUGUUCAAAUUCAUCCAAAAAUUCUAUGGUUAAUUUAUUUUUUCCACAUUUAUUUUACACUAGAAAUAAUCCUAGCAAUUGUUGCGAAAUCAGCAAAUUUUUUCCUAGGCUUAGAAUUAGAACCCCAAUUCAAUGAACCCCUUUUAUCAACAUCUCUCCAAGAUUUCUGGGGAAAAAGAUGGAAUCUCAUGGUAACCAGCAUUCUUAGGCCUACGGUGGACCUCCCCACACUGAAAAUUUCCUCCAGAGUCAUAGGCCGUGGGGCGGCCCCGCUUCCGGCGGUGAUGGCGACGUUCAUUGUGUCGGCGCUAAUGCAUGAGCUCAUCUUCUACUAUCUUGGACGCGUGUGUAGACGCCUACUUUUGUCCCCAUUCCCGAAAGGGAAGGUUCGAUGAUGAGAACAUAAAUCUCCAUUUGGCAACGCAUCUCCUGUAAAAUAACGAAUCUCAAUCGCCCUUUCAUUUCAUCCAAAACUGCUAUUUAUAGAAACCUGCUAAAAAUGGUAAUUGCCGUAAGAAGUAGUUGUUAAAAGUGGCAAAGUCAUAAAAGAUAGAAAUCUGUCAGAAUUAGGUGUUGCCAACAUAAGUCCUAAAAGAGAUAGAAUUGGCAAAAGGAAUUCUAUUCCUGUUAUAAUUCGAAAACAAGAGUUACGUAUUAAUUAAAUUCCUAACGAACCUAGAGUUCGUAACGGGACCAGACGCAUUCCGUCAUAAGUUGAUACGCACUAAGAAACUCGGAUAAGUCUCGAAGCUCCGUGUUUAAGAGUCCAAAUCUGACAAAAAGCUCGGCCCAGAUCCUAUUUUCAACGCCUAGGUCUGGGCGCCGAAAUCUUCGGCGCCCAGCCCUGGGCUCUGAAAAUACCUGGGGCCGUGUCGUCUCCGAAUUCUUUUUGGAUUCGUAUUCUAAAGAUCUAUAUUUUCACAAACUCUUUUCCUAUAAAUAUAGCCUAUAAACCGACGUGAAGAGGACACACAAUUCUAAAGAUCUGAGUAUUGAGUCCAACCCUAAGCCUAAGCCUCACGCUGCGAAAUUGAUCCCGCGUUCUGUCGCAAUCGACCCAAAAGUCGAACAGAACGUAUCAUGUCCCUUGUAGCUGAUGAAUUAAGCCUAAAUACUGGAACACUGCUCAGAAACCCGAGAUUCGUUAAAUAAAAGGAGAAAUAGCAAAGCCAAGUGGUUAGUUUUCUGAGAACCGUGACGCACCUCUCAAGGGUGCGUCGUAAUGUGUCCCUUCAUAUGAUUUAAUCGCUUUCAUCACCCUUUUAUAAAAUUGUUAAACUAUUAAUUUGAUGGAUCUAUCAAGCCUAAUAAAGAUAAUACCUUGGACAAUUGAAUUAUCAUGCUAGGUACCUUAAAUCAAUCUAAAUAAGAUAAUCACGAUCGAUUUAGUAUUAUGUGUUGCAUAUUGCUAAAAGCAAUUCAGAAUAGUUUAAUAGUUUAACGCAUGUCCCUUCAAUUAUUUAUGCUGAGCUAGUAAGGAUAACCUGCCUCUGGAGUUAUCGAUGAGCACUCCUCUCGGUAGUUACAGUCCCCCGAACUCUCAAUCUCUACCAUGCGGGUGUACGUUGAGCGAUCCCCGCACCAGGGAUCACAAGGGAACCUAUGGCCGUCAUGGUCGAACAUAAUUGCACUCCCUUUAUGUCACGAUAACCGGGUUUUGUCAGUUUUUCUCAUUGUCGUUAAAAACUGAAUGGCGACUCCUAUAUUACUAGUCGAUUGGGUGUAAACUCACAGGAAAUCUAACUACACUUGAUCUGACAACGUCACGCCCACGAGGGACGAGGUCAUGCAUUAGCCUCGUGCUUUUUCGACCCCCUCACAGUGGCGACUCCACUUGGGAACGUUAAUGAAAUACUCGUGCUCGUAGGUAAUCAAAAUAGCCGAAGGGUGAAACGAUCCUACUCCACGUUUAUUUCCUUAUCAAGUUGGGACGACCUGAAAAUCAGCAUAUUAAUGCGAACGGACAGAACCGCAUAAUGAAUCUCGGCUCCCUUGGCAUGUUUCAUCUCGGGAGUUGGGACUAAGGAUACCCAUCGACAAUGGGGGUGCAUACGCUUCGAAUGUUGUCCACUCGGCACUUUUCGCUAGUAGUACACCCGUCCCAAACCCAAUCGCUCGCCCACUAAGGUCCCUCUCAUUGGUGCAUGCCCCCUUGGCUUACAUCGUGAUUGGCCUCUUGGGACGAAAUUCGUCUGUUGAAUGCACUACCUCGACCAGGGCAUAUGUUGGAUCUACAAUAGAAGCGGUACCAAGCCAGGCGCAAAUAUUACCCAUAGAAGCCUAUCAUAAACUACGUGACAUAUUAUUUUGCUUCAUGUUGUAAUGUUAGUUAUGUGUAGCGAAUUACGUGAUUAUGUUGUGAUUGUGUGUGACAAGUAAAGCUAGAAAACCAACGACCCUAAAAAUUGCCCAAACAUUCAUAAAACACCGAUUGGCCAAAGAGUUAUACCAAAAUACGUGUUCCUCAACCCCGGGCGAUCGCCACAAAAAUAAGCGAAACAUAGGAUGGCCCGUAACGGAUCCCACAACGCUGCACAACGCGUAAAGGACGUUAUUAGGCAAGCACGCAAAAUUAAGUCGCAUGUACGAAAAAAAAUAUACGCGAACAGAAUACGAGUACCAGGCAGGGACGCAUUUUCAGCGCCCCUGGCUUGGCGCCAAACAUUUUCACGCCCUCUGCUGGGCGCUGAAGUUGCUGCCUGGCCUCUUGGUCAUGCACCGCAGCCUCGGUGCCCGCGCACAAAAUAUACGAAGCAAUAAAAAAUUCAUAACAAAUUUUCUACGAGGGCGUACGGAAAAGGCACUCAAUUCUAAAAACGACUUACAAAAUAAAUAACUCCUUGCGUCGUCAUUAGGCCUCCUAUGACGACAAUGUUCGGCACCAAAACCAAGCAUGCCAAUUAAUAUAACUUUGAAUGUCACGCGGGCAAGUGUUUCGAAAAUCUAAAGAAUGGCCAAAAGAAAAGCCAAAAUAUACCAACAAGAGUGAGAAUAGAAAACCGAUAGGAAGAGUCAAAAGUCUAGACUAAGUAAUGCUUAACUUUGGGCCUAAACUUUAGCUUGUCUUAUGCAUAGGGCUAGUUCUGCCACUUGGCGUCGAUCUGAAAAUUAAAGGUUAGUACGUCUCGAAGAUACAUCACCAACACAAGGUUUAGCAACUCCAAGCUCCAUCCGUCACUCCCCCUUUUAAGGAUCUCCGAUUCCCCAACCUCGAUUCGGACCCUCAAACAUGUCCAUAGAAGAGCUGCGGGACCAAAUGGCCCAAAUGACCCUACUUAUGAAUCAACUGAAAAUGGAAAACGAAUCCUUAGCGGCUGCGCAAGCCAAACAUGACCUCGAUAACGAGAAGAAGAUCGAAAAAAUGGUUCUGCAGCAAACUAUGGGGAGCAAGUAUUUCUCCCUCGAUCCUGAACCUUUUCCCGGCAAACUACCGGAAAAGUUUAGUUCAUCCGACUUACCGAUGUUCAAAGCCACGGACAAUCCCCGUGAUCAUCUCUUGAGCUUUGUGAAUGCCAUGAACUUGAAAGGUGUGGACAAGUCCAUGUAUCUGCCUGCCCUUCCUUUGUCCUUGGAACCUGUGCCACUCAAAUAGUACUACCACCAGGACCCUAAGCUCUUCCCCACUUGGGAGGACUUUGUCAAUGUAUUCAUCAAGCAAUACUCGUCGAACAUGGAUUUUCAAGUCACCAUGCGCGACCUAGAAGUCCUCUUCCAAAAGAAAAAUGAAGGUUUCACGACCUACUUUGCUAGAUGGAGGGACCAAGAGGCCCAACUAAUCAAUAGGCCUCCUUAAACUGAAUUGGUCUAAAAAUUCAUUGACAACCUAGACCCAGCUUAUAAACAACAUCUUAGAUACUUGGGCCUUGAUACCUUCAAGAGGGUUUACGAUGUAGGAAUAAAGAUCGAGGAUGACCUCACAAAAACAGUACAAAGCAAGCCUGCAUACAAAAGUAAUACCUACAACAGGGGCCACACGCCUCAAGCCCAAGAGGUCCACGCCGUAGAAGAAACCCCAACCCGAAGGAGCCCCGAAAGGUGGACCCGAGACCGAAAGUUUGCCCCACUCGGGUCGACUCUAGUACAAGUCUUCCAAAGACUAACCAAACAAGGAAAACUAAGGCCCAUAGGCCCCACACCCGACCCUCCAUUCAAAAAUAAAUACUGGGUCGAGGGCGCCCGCUGCGAGUUCCAUCAAGGAAAUGGGCAUGAUACUGAAAACUGCUGGAAUCUAAAAAACACGAUCCAGGAUAUGAUAGAGGAUGAAAUAAUACCCCUCCCUAACGUUCGCAAACCCAACAACAACAAGAGCCCACUCGGCUCUUGUCACAUCUCUCUCGAUCAACUGGAAAAUAUGAACUUUGACCCUACGGUGUAUAUUACGCCCCAAGGUGCACCACUCGCCAUGGUCCCUAUGGAUCAAAUCGAGAGAGAAGUGUGCGGUGUGUGGGAAGAUGAUGCUGAAGAUAUCUACCUGUCCCAAAUAUCGGGCCAGGACCUCUUUACUGAAACUUGGCCCGGGCACUCUCCCAUUGACACCACCCCUCAAGAGCCCGAAGUUGACAAUCUCACUCGGUCCGGAAGGGUAUACCAACAGGAUAUUCGCCCACCUCCCGGGGACGACAUCCCAGUCAGACAUACUCCUGAAAACGUGCGUCACACCACCGUCGCAGAAGUCAUCGAAAAUCCUCUCUUGAAGCAACUAAAAAGAACCAAAGCCGAGAUUACCAUCUGGGAUCUCAUGUGCACUUCAAAGGAACAUCGCAAAAAACUUAUUCGCUCACUUGACCUCAUCUCAGUCCCUACGGACAUCACACCUGACUUGUUGGUUAGCCACGUCACGAGAGAUGUUGAGGAAAAAGCAAUAGUUUUUACUGACAAAGACUUACCUAAAGAAGGAGGCGCCCACAAUAAGGCUCUUUAUCUAGUGGUUGGAUGCAAAGGACAAAACAUCCCCCUAGCACUCGUAGAUAACGGUUCGGCGGUAAAUGUUUGCCCAUUGCGAACCGCCCAUUGCUUGGGGCUAGGAAAUAAUGACUUCCAAACCUCCACGCAAGGGGUGCGAGCCUAUGAUAACUCUCGAAGGCCCGCGUUGGGAAAAAUCAACCUCACAAUACAAACCGGGCCUGUGGCACGCACCACGGAGUUUCAGAUAAUUGACAUCACGCCCAUUUUCAACCUCCUCUUAAGGCGCCCUUGGCUCCAUGACUUAGGAGGUGUGGCUUCUACCUUACACCAGAUGGUUAAACUUAACCAUAACGGGGUAAUUCUGGAAAUACGCGCCCCUCCUCUUGACGUCAGUUGUACUAUGGUCGGAACGACCGAUGCUGCAAAAGACCUUUACGGUUUUCAAGUGGAUGAAGUCAUCCAAGUCAUUGAGGACUACAAUUUAGCAUUUCUAGAUCCGCGAGCGUCCCGGGUCAUCCCUAAAAUGUUGCUAGCUCAAGGCUAUUUCCUGGGAACUCCAUUGGGCAUAAGGAAGAAGAACAACAUGUUCCAUCCCCCACCCAACAAAACUACUCCCUUUGGUCUAGUCUAUACACCAACGGAGGAAGAUAUUGCUGCCACUUGUCUAGGCUACGCCUUAAGCCAGCCAAGACAAAACAAACCACCCUUCUUCCCCCAUGCCAAAGAACCCUCAACGGUAUGUUUGUCCGAGAAGGAGAAGAACACCCAUGCUGCGACCUCCCUGAACCCUUUGUUCAGAAUGGCCUGCUAAAACCCGGAUUUGAGAUUUUCCAUGACUGUCAUACUAUGGAUGAGGCACCCCACCUCACCAAGACUGAAACAGCUGAAAUAUUAAACAACCAAGUGAAGGAAAUAGUGCCCUUGGUCCAAGUAUGCAUUUAAUGAUAAGUCUAAUAAAUGCGGUUCAGUAUUAAUUAACAAGUUAAUAAAUUCAGUGAGAUCAAGUGAGCUGAAUGCCUAGCUAGAGGCCGCUUCAGUUCAAGUGGAAUUAAUGAUAUUAAUCCACAGCUUACUCUUGACUGGACCCGUAGGGUCACACAAAUAGUACGUAAACGGAUCAAGUAUUAAUGGCAUUAAAUACUCCAUCUAUGGAUAUUCGGGAUCGACGGAUCUUGGUUUCAGUGGGAGCUAAGAUCGUCAAAGGCAAGUAAAUGAAUACUCCGGAAACGAUGAUAUUGCCGGAAACGGAAAUAUGGAUCGUAUCGGAAAUAUAAAUAUUAUCCAAGUCGUAGAUGUUGCCGGAAACGGAAACAUGGUACGUAUCGGAAAAUAUUAUCGGAAAUGGAAAUAUUGCCGAAAUCGGAAAUAUUACCGGAAACGGAAAUAUUGUCAGAAUCGGAAAUAUUAUCGGAAUCGGAAAAUAAUUCCGGAAACGGAAAUAUUAAAUAUUUGUUCGAAACGUAAAUUUAUUCCGGAAUCGGAAAUAUUAAAUAUUGUUCGUAUCGGAAAUAAAUUCCAGAAUCGGGAAUUUAAUCGGAAGCGUAUCGUACGAAUUAGCAUCGGACGAGGCCUGCCAGACGAAGGCCCAGCACGAAGCCGGACCAUCGCCCAGCAAACCACACGCAUCAAUUACACACAGCCAAGCCCCGCCAAACCCAGCGCAAGGCCAGGCCCAGCAAGGCCUUGGCGCGCACGGAGCAAUAUGGGCUGCAACAUUUGGGCUGCGAGCGAGUGCAGCUCGCGUGGGCCGCAAGGCUUGCGCGGGUGGUGCUCGUGUUCGUGCUCGUGUACGGUUGUGUGCAAUACAAAUCCUAAAGCUAUUAGAAUUUGUUCCAUGAUUAAAUCCUAAUCCUAGUAGAUAGAUUUUAUUUAAUAAGAGUCCUAACAGGAUUCUAAUUAAACUAAAUUGGUAUUCUAAUAGGAUUCUAAGUCCUUUUCCAUAACUCUAUAAAUAUGUGCCUAGGGUCAAAAAUUUAUUGACGUAAGAUUCAAGUAUUCAAAGGUAAGAUUUUCAAGCAAAAAUCAGCCACAAACACUUGCCCUAUAAGCCGAAAAUUCUUAGAACCUUAAGGGCGAUUCUAGUUGGUCAAGCUUAAGGCGGAUCCGGACGUGCUGUGGACUAUCUACGGAGGGACGACACUUGGAGUCCUAAAGACUUGUUCUUGUUCGGUUCGGGCGCAGCUAGGGAGUGCACGCUACAAAGUGUAUGCAUCUGAAUUAUGCUAAAUGAUUAUGUGUAAAUAAUAAAUUUCCUGGCAUUAAGGUUUUCCGCAUGAUUUAUGUUUUGUCAUAUGUAUCAUAACCUAACAGUGGUAUCAAGAGCCUCUUAUUAUUUACAUAAUCUAAAUUGCAUGACAUGGUUAAAUUUUACAAAUUUGCAAAGAAUUAAAAGGGGUGAUUAAUUUUCGUAAUUGAUUAAUUGCAAAUUGCGUUUAUUUAAUUAUAUGUACGCAGUUUUUCGGCAGUUUCUUCGUUACUCAUCCAAAUCGAGUAAUUUUUGUGUCAACUCCGCAUGUAAAAGGCAUUCUAAAAUUUUGACAAAAACAGUAUUUUUCGGCCGAACCCAGAAUUCCCAAAUUCGAAGCCUAACUAUUACUUGUCGGAGGUUUUAGUUUUUCGAACGCAAAAGUUUGUGUUAAAUUGAAUAUUUGCGAUUCUUGUUGAUAAAUCUUGAGUUUUUGAUUGA